GCCUAGUUAGCUUAGUUGGUAGUGCGUCUGCCUUGUAAGCGCUAGACCGCGGGUUCGAUUCCCACCCGGGGCG
rnacentral:tRNA from 1 species